UACAGAGGUCCCGAGCGUUGUUCGGAUUCAUUGGGCGUAAAGGGUGCGUAGGUGGCGAGGUAAGUCGGAUGUGAAAGCUCGGAGCUCAGCUCCGAAAUGGCAUUGGAAACUACCUUGCUAGAGGGUCGGAGGGGGGACUGGAAUUCUUGGUGUAGCAGUGAAAUGCGUAGAUAUCAAGAGGAACACCAGUGGCGAAGGCGAGUCCCUGGACGACUCCUGACACUGAGGCACGAAAGCUAGGGGAGCAAACAGG
rnacentral:rRNA from 1 species